UGGGGAAUAUUGCACAAUGGGCGCAAGCCUGAUGCAGCCAUGCCGCGUGUGUGAAGAAGGCCUUCGGGUUGUAAAGCACUUUCAGCGAGGAGGAAGGUGGUGAACUUAAUACGUUCAUCAAUUGACGUUACUCGCAGAAGAAGCACCGGCUAACUCCGUGCCAGCAGCCGCGGUAAUACGGAGGGUGCAAGCGUUAAUCGGAAUUACUGGGCGUAAAGCGCACGCAGGCGGUUUGUUAAGUCGAUNUGAAAUCCCCGGGCUCAACCUGGGAACUGCAUUUGAAACUGGCAAGCUAGAGUCUCGUAGAGGGGGGCUAGAAUUCCAGGUGUAGCGGUGAAAUGCGUAGAGAUCUGGAGGAAUACCGGUGGCGAAGGCGGCCCCCUGGA
rnacentral:rRNA from 1 species